CGAGUGGCGGACGGGUGAGUAAUGUCUGGGAAACUGCCUGAUGGAGGGGGAUAACUACUGGAAACGGUAGCUAAUACCGCAUAACGUCGCAAGACCAAAGAGGGGGACCUUCGGGCCUCUUGCCAUCAGAUGUGCCCAGAUGGGAUUAGCUAGUAGGUGGGGUAACGGCUCACCUAGGCGACGAUCCCUAGCUGGUCUGAGAGGAUGACCAGCCACACUGGAACUGAGACACGGUCCAGACUCCUACGGGAGGCAGCAGUGGGGAAUAUUGCACAAUGGGCGCAAGCCUGAUGCAGCCAUGCCGCGUGUAUGAAGAAGGCCUUCGGGUUGUAAAGUACUUUCAGCGGGGAGGAAGGUGUUGUGGUUAAUAACCGCAGCAAUUGACGUUACCCGCAGAAGAAGCACCGGCUAACUCCGUGCCAGCAGCCGCGGUAAUACGGAGGGUGCAAGCGUUAAUCGGAAUUACUGGGCGUAAAGCGCACGCAGGCGGUCUGUCAAGUCGGAUGUGAAAUCCCCGGGCUCAACCUGGGAACUGCAUUCGAAACUGGCAGGCUAGAGUCUUGUAGAGGGGGGUAGAAUUCCAGGUGUAGCGGUGAAAUGCGUAGAGAUCUGGAGGAAUACCGGUGGCGAAGGCGGCCCCUGGACAAAGACUGACGCUCAGGUGCGAAAGCGUGGGGAGCAAACAGGAUUAGAUAGCCUGGUAGUCCACGCCGUAAACGAUGUCGACUUGGAGGUUGUGCCCUUGAGGCGUGGCUUCCGGAGCUAACGCGUUAAGUCGACCGCCUGGGGAGUACGGCCGCAAGGUUAAAACUCAAAUGAAUUGACGGGGGCCCGCACAAGCGGUGGAGCAUGUGGUUUAAUUCGAUGCAACGCGAAGAACCUUACCUACUCUUGACAUCCAGAGAACUUUCCAGAGAUGGAUUGGUGCCUUCGGGAACUCUGAGACAGGUGCUGCAUGGCUGUCGUCAGCUCGUGUUGUGAAAUGUUGGGUUAAGUCCCGCAACGAGCGCAACCCUUAUCCUUUGUUGCCAGCGGUUAGGCCGGGAACUCAAAGGAGACUGCCAGUGAUAAACUGGAGGAAGGUGGGGAUGACGUCAAGUCAUCAUGGCCCUUACGAGUAGGGCUACACACGUGCUACAAUGGCGCAUACAAAGAGAAGCGACCUCGCGAGAGCAAGCGGACCUCAUAAAGUGCGUCGUAGUCCGGAUUGGAGUCUGCAACUCGACUCCAUGA
rnacentral:rRNA from 1 species